GCGGCUCCUAAAAGAAAAAAAACUAGUUCUUCCCCGGCGGCGGCGGCGUCUACGGCAAAACGGCGGACUCAAAGAAAGAAAGAAAGAAAGCCGGGGCGACAUGGAUACCGACGGUGGAAACCUGUUACCAAUUGGUACUACGACGGGGGACUUGAUCAAUAAACAAAAUAAACAGGUCGAUAUGGAUGCUAGGAAUCAUACUUUACCGCCAAUGGAUCAUACUCCAAAUCAGAAGCAGAUUCUGGAUCUAAAGAGCCGGGUUUUUGAGCAGAUGUUCGAAGACUGUCCGUAUAAAUAUCUUCUAAUUCAGACCCACACAUGGGAGGAGAAGGUGGUGCAGAUUCUUCAUGUGGUACGCCGUCGAGAAUUCACUAAACGCAAUCCCAAGACAGGCAUUUGCCAACCCUACCGCUUUUCUUUAUUGAAUAUUCAACACUACUUAGUACUAUAUACAAGCAAUUGUUCUAUACAUGUAAUCUGUUUAAUAUUCUUAGUUUGAUUUGGUCUCUUGGAUUUUUCA